AGGUUUUUCUUUUUCAUUCAUCGGUCCUUAGACGUUUGCUCUGGAAUGCAGCCCCCGAGUGGAGAGCAAAGCUGACUCUGGCAUGUGGAGGAGGGUAGUAGCAUGAAGGAGAGGCGAGCAUCUUGAAGUACCUAGAAUUAGCCAUUUCUUCAAGGAGCCCUGGUUCUUUUUAAUGGGAUCUGAAAUUCAGACAUCAGAGUCUGGGUGCCAGGGCCCAUUGAAAUGCAACCACCAGUGGAGGAAAAGAAACAUGACUAUGCAAGAAAGAGUCCCUCUCUGGUGUGCCUGUAAGAGGAGGCAGGAAUAAGUUCCAGGUGGACAACUGCUUUUCGCUUCCCCCAAUCCUUGCCUCAGAAGGUGUCUAUAAGGGCAGUCCUCCAAGCUGGUCUCUCCAUUACUCAUUACAGUUCAUGACAAGAUGCUUCAGUUAAAACUGAAUCCAUCUUUCCCUACACUUUCAAGCAGGAAUUGUGUGAUAAUUAGAGGAUAUGUUGCAUUUUAGAUACCAUAAUUCAGCCCACACAUCCAACUAGCAAUUUGCUAACCACAAAUGUGUUUGGCCUACACAUUUUAUCUCUAAACUCUUUGCUUUGACAUUCUCUAAAAUUAUGACUCUAAUGUAAACCUAGAUGUAAUGGUAAUUCUUUCAGAAAAAGUUACCUACUCUAAAAACAUUUAAAAAUUGGGGGAAAAGGUCACAUAUAUUGUGCAAAAGGGUGUCAUUGAUGAGAUCAAAUUGUUCAUUUCAACGAUUUGCCCUCUGAACUCUAAAUAUUAUGCUCUAAUUAUACUGUGGAAAUCUAAUGAUGAUGGGAGGUUGAAACAUCUUUCAAAAUGAGCAUUUUUUCACUGUUCUCUGAGGAAAUAAAAUAUAAAUAGAAUAUAAUAAAUGUGAGAAUCUAAAUAUUAUUUCAAGUUUUUAAAUGCUAUAGCUAUUUAAUAUUUCACUUGCCUAGAAUAGUGAAGCUAAUGAUUAUCUGAAUAUAUGCAUUUGUUAUGUCCUUUAUAGAAGAAUAUAAAAAUUAAAAUAAAUUAAUAGCAAUUCCACAUUAACCGUUGGGAUUAGUAAUUACUAUUAAAUAGGCAAAUGAGCUUCUGCCAGAAAAAUCUCAUUCUACCUUCAUAAAAACUAAAGGACUUUAAAGAAAGUUUCAUAAGUUAAGAGAUUAAGGAAAAUGCUAGCUAGGUGAAUUUCAUUACUUCUAAAUUCAUUUGUGCUCCUAUUUUUUUUAACUUGCCUCUAUGACUGUAUUGUAAUGUAAUCAUUUUGGUAAUCCCCGAUGUGUACUUCCUUGGUGUUUGGUAGUUCAUUAUUUCAUUCAUUCACUUGUUCAUUCUCUGUUGCUGUUAGCUAUCUUUGGUUACAAUCUACAGAAAUGAAUCUUAAAUAACAGGGCAU